rnacentral:rRNA from 1 species
UCAGGACGAACGCUGGCGGCGUGCCUAAUACAUGCAAGUCGAGCGGAUUUAUCCUUCGGGAUAAGUUAGCGGCGGACGGGUGAGUAACACGUAGGCAACCUGCCUAUAAGACUGGGAUAACUAUCGGAAACGAUAGCUAAGACCGGAUAACUGAUUUUCUCGCAUGAGAAAAUUAUGAAACACGGAGCAAUCUGUGGCUUAUAGAUGGGCCUGCGGCGCAUUAGCUAGUUGGUAGGGUAACGGCCUACCAAGGCGACGAUGCGUAGCCGACCUGAGAGGGUGAACGGCCACACUGGGACUGAGACACGGCCCAGACUCCUACGGGAGGCAGCAGUAGGGAAUCUUCCGCAAUGGACGCAAGUCUGACGGAGCAACGCCGCGUGAGUGAUGAAGGUUUUCGGAUCGUAAAGCUCUGUUGCCCUAGACGAACAGCAAGAGGAGUAACUGCCUUUUGUGUGACGGUAUAGGAGAAGAAAGCCCCGGCUAACUACGUGCCAGCAGCCGCGGUAAUACGUAGGGGGCAAGCGUUGUCCGGAAUUAUUGGGCGUAAAGCGCGCGCAGGCGGUCAAUUAAGUUGGGUGUUUAAGCCCGGGGCUCAACCCCGGUUCGCAUCCAAAACUGGUCGACUUGAGUGUAGGAGAGGAAAGUGGAAUUCCACGUGUAGCGGUGAAAUGCGUAGAGAUGUGGAGGAACACCAGUGGCGAAGGCGACUUUCUGGCCUAUAACUGACGCUGAGGCGCGAAAGCGUGGGGAGCAAACAGGAUUAGAUACCCUGGUAGUCCACGCCGUAA